AUUGAACGCUGGAGGCAGGCCUAACACAUGCAAGUCGAGCGGCGCGGCGGACGGGUGAGUAAUGCCUGGGAAUCUGCCUGGUAGUGGGGGAGAACGUCCGGAAACGGGCGCUAAAACCGCAUACUAUCGCAAUCGCCUAGGUCGGAUUUGCUAGUUGGUGGGGUAAAGGCCUACCAAGACGACGAUCCGUAACUGGUCUGAGUGGAUGAUCAUUCACAAUGGAACUGAGACACGGUCCAGACUCCUACGGGAGGCAGCAGUGGGGAAUAUUGGACAAUGGGCGAAAGCCUGAUCCAGCCAUGCCGCGUGUGUGAAGAAGGUCUUCGGAUUGUAAAGCACUUUAAGUUGGGAGGCGUUACCAACAGAAUAAGCACCGGCUAACUUCGUGCCAGCAGCCGCGGUAAUAC
rnacentral:rRNA from 1 species